CUGGGCUGCUGCCGGCAGGGCGGGACCGACGGGGCGCCGGGAGAGCUGCUCUCGCUGCUGCGGGGCCACAAAGCGACCAGUGGGCAGCAGCCUCCUCGUUUGCCCCUCAUCUUGGAAAAGCCACCAGGAUUUGACCAGCCUGUGCAACAUGGACAACACUGAACCAGCCAUGGAUGAUCUGCAGAUGCCCUGUGUAAGUGAGGCAAAAUGCCAUCCACCGAAUUGUGACUGCGGGCCGAAAAACCAACUAUCCAAGAUAUAGUGACAGAGUACCAAAAGAAAGCCUAUAAUGGAGACAAAUGAAGCAAAAAUUGCAUUUGUAAUAAAAACGUACGUUUGAUUUUU